rnacentral:rRNA from 1 species
AAUUGGAGGGCAAGUCUGGUGCCAGCAGCCGCGGUAAUUCCAGCUCCAAUAGCGUAUAUUAAAGUUGCUGCAGUUAAAAAGCUCGUAGUUGAAUUUCGAGAUCAAAUUGUUGGUCGUGCCUCGGUACGCACUGGCAUUAUUGAUUUCUCCCUUCUGACGAUCCGCGAUGUCAUUAAUUUGGUGUCGCGGGGAAUCAGGACUGUUACUUUGAAAAAAUUAGAGUGUUUAAAGCAGGCUCACGCUUGAAUACAUUAGCAUGGAAUAAUGAAAUAGGACGUUUGAUUCUAUUUUGUUGGUUUCUAGGAUCGACGUAAUGAUUAAUAGGGAUAGUUGGGGGCAUUAGUAUUCAAUUGUCAGAGGUGAAAUUCUUGGAUUUAUUGAAGACUAACUACUGCGAAAGCAUUUGCCAAGGAUGUCUUCAUUAAUCAAGAACGAAAGUUAGGGGAUCGAGGACGAUCAGAUACCGUCGUAGUCUUAACCAUAAACUAUGCCGACUAGGGAUCGGAUGAUGUUAAUUUUUUAAUGACUCAUUCGGCGCCUUAGCGGGAAACCAAAGUGU